GCUAAGUCUGUGAUGCAGCCCUUUAAUCCCGCUGUGUCUGACGUCCAUAGUGGAGAACAAUCGCCUGGGGCUCCAGACGACACCCAACACAAAGGUUCAAGUCGGGAUUCCUUGCCCUCUGCCUCUGCGUCGACUGUUGGGAUUCUCGCCAAAGCUGUGGAGCCAUUCACUCAGAGCAAUGGGUUACAUGAAGAUGACAGCUCUACCAGCGCAGAAGAACGACCUUCAAGUCAGUGGAGCACGAAGCUUGACCAACCAGUUCAGCAAAGACAGGAGCCUCUGCACAGCCAGCAACAUUAUGAUGAGGAAAUUGUGAUUGAUUCCUCUGAAGGAGAACGACCUCCUGAUGCCUAUGUGGACAGUUCAGAUAAUGAUGAAACUGUCCCUGUCCCGCCUGUAAGCCAAACCACCAGGUCCUUGGGUGAAGUUACAGACUUAGAUGUUUUGGGCAGUGAGGCGGAGUUCAGGGAUAUUCUUAAAUCUCAGUUUGUUUUGUCACUCUUUGUCAAUGACCAUAAUAUCAGUUUAUCUGACAAAGAUGUUGACGUGGAUUCAGGUCUCGGCAGUGACAUCGCUCAUCAGAACUCACCUUUACAUAAUAUUAGACCAAUUAGAUAUCCAUCUCAGCCAUCUCUUGAAGAAAUCGCUUUUAGUCCAGUUCCACACUUACAGGAGAAUAGUCCCAUCUCAGAUUCAGAAUCCCUGCCUGUUGAUGGCCAGGCCACCAGGUCCUUGGGUGUAAAUGCAGACUUAGAUGUCUCAUGUGGUGAGAAGCUUCUUCCCAAAGCCUUGAGGGACAUGGCUAAAUCAAACUUUGUCAAAUCCUACACUGCAACCAGUUUAUUUGACGAGACCUGGAUUGUUUCAACUCUUGAGGGCUUUAGAGAAAGUACUGCAGUAUUAGAAGCAAAGAAACUAAUGAGUGACUUUUCCUACAGCGAGGAAAUCCGCCUUAGUUCAGCAAAUGUUGAUGCAUGCUGUGGUUUCUGGGGAGUAUGUGAUGAGAUGGACAAAACCGAUGCAGCUGGUCCAAGUGGUUUAAGUCGCCAGUCCGACAGUCCGAUAUCAAUAAUUG
rnacentral:lncRNA from 1 species